rnacentral:rRNA from 1 species
UACAGAGGUCCCAAGCGUUGUUCGGAUUCACUGGGCGUAAAGGGUGCGUAGGUGGCUUGGUAAGUUUGAUGUGAAAUCUCCGGGCUUAACCCGGAAAUGGCAUUGAAUACUAUUGAGCUGGAGGUUUGGAGGGGGGACUGGAAUUCUCGGUGUAGCAGUGAAAUGCGUAGAUAUCGAGAGGAACACCAGUGGCGAAGGCGAGUCCCUGGACAACACCUGACACUGAGGAGCGAAAGCGUGGGGAGCGAACAGG